rfam:Gorilla gorilla gorilla genomic chromosome, chr15, whole genome shotgun sequence
GCCGGGCAUGGUGGCGCAUGCCUGUAAUCCCAGCUACUCGGGAGGCUGAGGCAGGAGAAUCACUUGAACCCAGGAGGCGGAGGGUGUGGUGAGCCAAGAUAGUGCCACUGCACUCCAGCCUGGGAGAUAAGAGUGAAACUCUGUCUCAA